GUUGGAGUCAUGGACGGAGCCCGGCUCCCGUAGGAGUCCGGGCGGAGUCUUUCUUGCGGUCGGAGUCAUGGACGGAGCCCGGCACCCGUAGGAGUCUGGGCGGAGUCUUCCUUGCGGUCGGAGUCAUGGAUGGAGCCCGGCUCCCGUAAGAGUCCGGGCGGAGUCUUCCUGUAAUUAAAGUCAGGUGCGAAGUCUGGCUCCCGUAGGAGUCCGGACAGAGCUUACC
rnacentral:lncRNA from 1 species